ensembl:lncRNA
GUGGGCUAACUCAACGUUAUCUUCCUGUUCAUGUUCCUUUUCUAAAGAAAUGAUCAGAGUUUAUACCGGAGGACACUUAAGGGGAGUUAUUACCUUUUUAACCGUUCAUGAAAGCAGUUAACAGAGGCCAUCAAUCAUACAUUUCAAAAUGUAGCAGUUAUGUAUUGCAAUUAAUAUGGUUUCAAACAUGAUUACCAUGAUAAAUCUUCUAUAUAACACCAGAACGAUUCUUAUCAUCUAGGUAGUUUUAAUAUUGAAUGCUGCUAUGAAUAUUGUAUUCUACUUAAAGCUAGAGCAGCCAGAUUCUAAAGGUACCCAACUGAAGAAAACACAGCCCUCCCUUCAGGCCUCAUCCGAAGCCACGCCCCCAAAACACAGACUAGCUCGCUAGAUGGUCUGCCUAGACCAGGCCCAGGCCUAGAGCAGGCCCAGGCCUAGCCUUGUGGAAGAUUGCGGCCACGCAUAACAAUGAGUGCAGGGUUAGAGUGCCUGCAGGUAGAGAGACAGACAGACAGGUAGCCAGGUAGGUAGGUAGGGAGACAGACAGGUAAACUGGGUAGGUAGGGAGACAGACAGGUUAACUGGGUAGGUAGGGAGACAGACAGGUUAACUGAGAAGGUAAGGAUGCAGACAGGUAAACUGGGAAGGUAGGGAGACAGACAGGUAAACUGUGAAGGUAGGGAGGCAGACAGGUUAACUGGGUAGGUGGGGAGCCUUCUAAUAAUUUCAAUCAGGCAGAAUAAAUUAUUUGACUGGCUGAUUACCGGCCUGCGACAGCCAAAGAUCCGUUUUUUUUGUCAGAGCAUUAGAAUUAUUGAUUGCCGUCUGGAUGUUAAUAGAGAAUCAACAAACAUAACUUCUCAAAUAUAUUGCCUACCCCAGCGUUAACAUCCCAGAAGCUGUUAAAUAAUAAAGAUCAACUUAUCGUGAUCAUGCAGCAAAGGCGAAGCCAUCCAUCGUUUCCUGCUCUAGCGUGUCAUCACUCAAUCCCCCAGACUUCACCUGAAAGACUCUCCUCACUCUUUCUGCCAAGCUAGCAAAGAUAAAGAAAGUAAAAAGCAUUGAUCCGACUCUCU